AUUUUUUUAUAGUAUUUUGAAAAAUAAGACAGCAUUUUCGAUGAAAGCUCUCAAUCGGCUUGAUCUCUUCCGACAUCUUGAGCAAUUAUCGUCAUAUUAACACAAAAUAAUAUUAAAAUAUACGUAUAAACCUUCCUCUUG